GUAGGUGGCGAGCGUUAUCCGGAAUGAUUGGGCGUAAAGGGUGCGUAGGCGGCCCGUUAAGUCUGGAGUCAAAGCCGGCAGCUCAACUGUCGUACGCUUUGGAAACUGGCGGGCUGGAGUGCAGAAGAGGGCGAUGGAACUCCAUGUGUAGCGGUAAAAUGCGUAGAUAUAUGGAAGAACACCAGUGGCGAAGGCGGUCGCCAGGUCUGCAACUGACGCUGAAGCACGAAAGCGUGGGGAGCAAAUAGGAUUAGAUACCCUAGUAGUCCACGCCGUAAACGAUGAGAACUAAGUGUUGGGGGAAUAACUCAGUGCUGCAGUUAACGCAAUAAGUUCUCCGCCUGGGGAGU
rnacentral:rRNA from 1 species